rnacentral:rRNA from 1 species
AUCACUACGCUAGAUGCAUAUCAAUAAGCGGAGGAAAAGAAACUAACUAGGAUUCCCUCAGUAACGGCGAGUGAAGCGGGAAGAGCUCAAAUUUGAAAUCUUCAAGGUUCUACCUUGACGAAUUGUAGUUUAAAGAAGUGUUUUCUGUUGGAGUUUUGGUAAAGAGUUCUUUGGAAUAGGACAUCAUAGAGGGUGAGAAUCCCGUAUUUGACCAUUAUUUCCAACUUUGUGAUACACUUUCAAAGAGUCGGAUUGUUUGGGAAUGCAGUCCAAAAUGGGUGGUAAAUUUCAUCUAAAGCUAAAUACUGGCGAGAGACCGAUAGCGAACAAGUACCGUGAGGGAAAGAUGAAAAGAACUUUGAAAAGAGAGUUAAACAGUACGUGAAAUUGUCAAAAGGGAAGCGUUUGACACCAGUGUUGUUUUCUCGAAAGAUCAAUUAAAAAUGGCAGGAUUUUGUGUUGUAUUGACUUUAUCAGCUUUCAGCACUUUUUUUCUUGUCUUUUUUAAUGCACUUUUCGUUUAACAAGUCAACAUCAAUUUCUUUUGUUGUAAAAGAGGUCAUUGGAAGGUGGCUUUCAUUUUCGGAGAAAGUGUUUAUAGCCUUUGACUUCCUGCAAUCGGAGAGACUUGAGGUCUGCAGCGUAGAUCCUUUCUGGGAUUAGAUAUCAUUUGUGCUAAGUUAUAGCCUUUUCAUAGACAACAUUGUUGACUAUAUUCAGUCUAUGUAAGCUUACUCGCUUAUGUUAAUUUUACCUACGCUUAGGAUGUUGACACACGCGCGUGCUCG